rnacentral:SRP_RNA from 1 species
GCUGGGCGUGGUGGCUCACGCCUGUAAUCCCAGCACUUUGGGAGGCUGAGGCGGGUGGAUCACCUGAGGUCAGGAGUUCAAGACCAGCCUGGCCAACAUGGUGAAAACUUGUCUCUA